CAACCUAACGUGUGGACGUAUAGUAUUGUCAUGCGUGGAUUGUGCAAAGGAGGACGCACAGAGGAAGCAUAUCAGCUGCUAAAGGAGAUGCAAGGAAAUGGAUGCCUUCCGGAUGGUGUCGCUUAUAACACAAUCAUCCAAGGACUACUAAGAGAUAACGAAAAUACGAGAGCAGCGCAACUUGUUGGUGAAAUGGUUGAAAGGGGUUUUUCUGCAGACUUAGCAACAAUGGAGUUGUGGGUUAAAUUUCUCUUGACAAAUGGAGCUCCUUCAUUUCUCCAUUGUGUGUGAGAUCUGUCCACUUUUUCAUCUAAAAUUUGAUGGAGAGUAAGCCAGAUUAACAGCAGGUUUUCUUCCAGACAUCACCUCCUUGAGUCCCAUGUCCCGUUAAUGAAGUUGUUUUAAGUCUGGGAGAUUUUUCCUCUUGCUUGAUUAUCAGGCUUUUGGAGGGGGGAAAGGUUGAUUUUGCUUUUCGUAUGCCUAGGUUUUGCAAGAAAUCUGUAUUUAACUGGUAGAUGUACUUGUGGGUUAGUGCUUCUGGUGCCUACUAUUUAUCAAACAGGUCAAAUUCAUAUGAAUGAUCAAUUGGUGUGAGGAUGUUCUCAAAUUAAAUCAAUGUUAAUAGCAUAACUUUACUGUGUACUAUAUGCAAUUCAGACAUUAUAGACAAGUAUCAUGGACCUCUUCCUCAAUGGGACUAAAGAAAACUACUUUUUUUUCUUUUUUUUUCAGGGUGUAAUGUAUGUGCUUUGAGAGAGAGAUACUGGUUUUCUUUUAUUUUCUUUUCCUAACACCUCUGAUCCCUUCAAUGUCUUAUUUGCCAUAGUUCUUCAAAGAAGAUGCAUGGGUGGAAGUGGAUGGUAUAUGAUCAUGGUGAUGGGCACUUUGAAUCAAUAACAGUGAAUACUUGUGGCGGGCUGGGUACUCAGAUUGUCAUGCAGGUUGAUUACAUAUUUGGGUUAUUUGCUCUGCUUCUCACAGCAAAGUUUGAUGGACGGCUUGCUGACUAAGGAACAUAGCUGCAACUGUAUGGAAACAACUUUCAGUAUCUUUUCCUUUGCACUGCAAGGGAUUUUCCAAAAAGCAUCUGUUGAUGCGUGAACAUGAAUGCCUCUGACAGACAUUGCUUGCCAAACCACAUUGACAUCUGGAGUGGCACCAAUCAACUUCAUUACAAACAGGCUCAUAGGAUUUAACUUUCUUUCGCUCUCUAUAGAGUUACUUCAAAGAAGAUGCAUAAGUGGAAGUGGAUGGUACCUGAUCAUGGUGAUGUGCACUUUGCAUUAAUAGGGGAGAAUAUUUGUGGCGAGCUAGUUACUCAGAUUAUCAUCUAAGAUGCCAAACCACAUAGACGUCUUGAGCGACACCAACCAAAUUCAUCACAGUCAGGCCCGCAGCAGGAUUGCUUGGACAGUCUUCCUCUUGUCACGCCCACUCCUCUUUGUUUCCUCACAUAAUCAUAGUAGCAUGGAAGCAUUCCAGAGAACGCUCUUCUAGCAAAGUUCACGUGUGGAUAUCAUGGCCGAUAUGAUCGAUUGAACUCAGAAGAAAGAACCUUUCGAGCAAAAGGAUCAAUUCGAAGUUCUGCAUAUAUAACAAUUGGAUCAACUCAGCUCUCUGUUGUCCAUUUUCUUGUUUACAAAAGCUGGUCUAUGGGCUUACCCACUGAAGCAAAGCCACUGUUUUUGCGAUGAUGGUUUUAAUUUCACUUUUCGAGAUUCUUCGCUGACUAGAACCAUGUGCAAGUGCAUCAUCAGGCUUCAGUUUCAAAAGAAGCUUUAUGAUUUCUUUUGCUGGAAAGUCGCGGGCAUGGUGUAUCCUUUACUGUAAAUUAUGUCGACUCACCUCAGAUUGAUCCUUUAGUGUUAGAUAUCGAUAUCAACUAGAGGCCUUGAAACCUUCAAUCUUUGCAAGAAUUGAGAGUACAGUCAUUAAGGGAACAUCAUUUUCAAAAUAGAUUCACGCUGUGGGCCAUCAACGAAGGAAUACACCAGGCAUCAAGACAUUAUUGUAAGAGCACAGCCAAACAGCUUGCGUUACAUAGUCACAAACUCAAUGGAUAGCUUAAUGCAAGCAAGCAAUGUAUAGGAUUGUUUUCUUCCUAAAUGGAAGUUCCUUGUUUGAGA